rnacentral:rRNA from 1 species
ACCGAAUAGAUACCCGGGUAGUCCACGCCCUAAACGAUGCGAACUGGAUGUUGGGUACAUUACGGUACUCAGUGUCGAAAGUUAAACGCGUUAAAGUUCGCCGCCUGGGGAGUACGGUCGCAAGACUGAAACUCAAAGGAAUUGACGGGGGCCCGCACAAGCGGUGGAGUAUGUGGUUUAAUUCGAUGCAACGCGAAGAACCUUACCUGGCCUUGACAUCUGUCGAAUCCUGCAGAGAUGCGGGAGUGCCGCAAGGAACGACAAGACAGGUGCUGCAUGGCUGUCGUCAGCUCGUGUCGUGAGAUGUUGGGUUAAGUCCCGCAACGAGCGCAACCCUUGUCCCUAGUUGCCAGCACGUAAUGGUGGGAACUCUAGGGAGACUGCCGGUGACAAACCGGAGGAAGGUGGGGAUGACGUCAAGUCCUCAUGGCCCUUACGGCCAGGGCUACACACGUACUACAAUGGUCGGUACAGAGGGUUGCGAAGCCGCGAGGUGGAGCCAAUCCCAGAAAACCGAUCCCAGUCCGGAUCGGAGUCUGCAACUCGAC